AUGGAAAACUGUUCUGUGGUCAAAUGAAUCAAAAUUUGAAAUUCUUUUUAAAAACCAUGGAUGCCAUGUCCUGCAGAUGAGAGGGACCAUCCAGCUUGUUAUCAAUGCACAGUUGAAAAGCCUGCAUCUCUGAUUUUAUUAAGUUGGCAUUAGUACCUUUGACGUGGACAGCUUACACAUCUGGAAAGGCACUAUCAAUGCUGAACAGUAUAUAGAAGUUUUAGAACAACAUAUGCUCCCAUCCAGACAGCGUCUCUUUCAGGGAAGGACUUGCAUAUUUUAGCAAGACAAUGCUAAACCACAUAGUGCAUCCAUCACAACAGCAUGGCUUUGCAGAGGAAGAGUCUUGGUACUUAACUGGCCUGUCUGCAGUCCAGACCUUUCACCAAUAGAAAACAUUUGGCACAUCAUGAAACUAAAAACAUACAUACAUCAUAUGUAUUUUGUGUAUAGUUCUGGGGCUGCAACAGAGACUGAUUUUUUUCCCUCUAAGAAUACAUUUUAUGUGGUAAGAAUUUAGCUAAAUAUUACAAAAGUGUUCAUACUUAGUUACUGACUCCACCUUAAGUAGGCCUUCUUCAGGGAAAGCUUCAGGUUUUGUAUGUUCUUUGUGAAACACCACUCUGAAUUAAGUCUGAUUUUGGCAUUUAAAGAGUCUUAAUAUGUAAAGUUCAAUCAGCUGCUUAAAUUUAAUGACUUGAUGUGAAAAUGUACCUGCACUUGUAGAACUGAACUUUUUAUAGAACUUUCUUUUCUUAUUCUUCCAUAUGUUACAUGACUCAACAGGUUUAGCAUGUGAUAAAACCUAUAAUGGCCAUACAUAACAGACUUCACCUAAAGCCUGUGAAGACCAGGCAUCGUGAUUUAUUUGAUUAUAUAUACUUUUAGAAAGCUUUGAUUCUGAAGAUAAUUUUCCAACAAAAAUUAAUAUUUUAAUGUAUUAUCACAGAUGCCCAAAUAUGUGGCUCAUGCCACAAAUUACACUGCUUUAAGACACAGCAUUGUUAUGAAAGACUACACACAAGAUUACACACAUGGCUGGAGUGCCCAAACAUGGCUAAUCAGAUGAGCAGGAACACCUAGUCAGCAGAAGAGGAGAUAUAUCCAGCUCUACUUCAUGAGAUGUACUAAAGUAACGCUUGUAGGGGGUUGAAGAAUUGUUGGGAUGUGUGAGCUCUUCAUAAGUGCACGGCUGUUAUGCCUACGAUUUUGGUACAUUUUGGCAACAAUGUCCUAACACAUCAGACAGUUGAAACUGGGGAAAGGCUUCAUGGAUAAGGUGAUAUCCUGUGGAAUCUCUGAAGCUGAUGAAGACAAACUUAUCCAGCUACUGGAUCAGUAUGGAGCCCCUGAAGGGACAAGGUGUAUUUUUUUCAGGUACAAAUCUGGUGUGCACCAGAUACUAUCAGGUGAGAACCCAAUACUGUGUGGUGAGCACCAUAUUCUAUGUGUUGAGCACCCGAUACUAACAGAAAAUAUCUAUACACACACACACACACACACAUAUAUGUAUAUAUAUAUAUAUAUAUGUGUGUGUGUGUGUAUGUGUGUGUGUGUGUGUGUGUGUGUGUGUCUGUAUCUGUAUAUGCAUAAACAAUGUCAGUGUUCACUGGCGACAGAUGGCACAAAAACAAAUAAAACAACUUAAAGAUGAUAAGGUAAGUUUUAUGUUCAGACAGACAUGAAAACCUUAAUAAUUUACCAAUUUGUCCCUACCAAAGAGAUACCGCUAAAUGUAUGCCGUCUUUUCUAGAUAUAGUUAGCUAUGUGAAAACCCUCAUAAAGUCCUAGCUGCUGAAUGAAAUGGUAAAACUGUCCGUGCUCUUUUCAUUUUUCCAAAAUAAAAACAUAACCCACCGAAUGGAAUCGUUUAUCCGUUUUGCGAGGAGCAAAAGUUAUCAUUGUCACUUGAAAACAUUUUGCCUGCUUGCUCAUUUUUGUUGCGGGUGUGUAUAGUUUAAAUGCAAAAAAGUCAUGUCUGGGCAAGUUAGCUAGUUAUGUAGUUUAAGCAACUGAGCACGUAGACAGUGUUCUUGGCUAGAUAGCUAGCUAGCUAACAUACUAGUAGCAAAGUGCUAAAUGGUAGCUAAAUAGCCUAAACUGAAAGGUAGCUACGAAUAUAUCUCAAUGUAAACAGAGUUUUAAAUUAGCAACUUACUGUAACUUUUCUUGCUGAGUAGCUAGUUGUUUUAUUUUUUAUUGUGGAGUGUUCAGCACAGAGUAAACGUUAGCUAGCAUUAGCUAGCUAACUAUGAUGAAAAGUGCAUAAAGCAGGAGGCUUCUUUUUUCAUUUAGGCUACUUUCAGCAAGCCUAACAUGUAUUGUGUAGAGAACAACACAAGCCUUAUAGCUAACCAAGUUAGCUAGCUAACUUUAUCUAGCAAAGGCAGCCUACAUUUAGCUAAUUUAUAUCUUUUGAAAGGGAAAUUAUUCAAGUUUUUAUUGCUGUCUGAAGAAAUAAACAUACCUUAUCAUCUGGAACUACAGCCGAUUCGGCCGCCUCUGACUACAUUUCUCAGAACCCCUCAAUCCCUCAGGACUCAUCUAGAUUCACCUAUCACCGCUCAGCUUCUCCAGACUUCUAAUCACAUCCACCUGUUCUCUUGGGUAUAACCUGUCUAUUUGGUUCUGCUCACUGCGAAGUAUCAUCACUUUUAGCUGUUCGUACCAUGCCUGUCUCCAUGUCUGUUAGCAAGUGACUGUGUAUGACUGUUUAUGACCUGAUUUUUGUUUUGCCCUUUGCUCUGUUUUGGAUCUCUCUGUUUUGGAUCUCUCUGUUGCUCUCUCAACCACUGUUUCUGCUUCUACUGGCUCAGCCUCUCUCUGAUCAACUCAGGAGCUGAAGGAAAUUUCCUGCAUUCAGGCGUGGUGGCUCAUCUCCAGAUCCCUGUGGAACCUCUUCAGACACCCCUUAAAGUCACCACGCUGGAUGGAGGACCCAUUAAUGUGGAUCCUAUCACUUUCAUCACCCAACCAGUCCAGUUGGAGGCUAGCUAUUUUCACAAAGAACAGCUUUCAUUUCUAGUUAUUGACUCUUCUGAAUUUUCUGUUAUUCUAGGACUACCUUGGCUUAAGAAGCAUAUCCCUCAAAUCUCAUGGCCUAACCAUAAGAUCACAUCAUGGUCAAAAUUCUGUUUUACAUAUUGUCUCACUUUCCCAGUGCUUAAAGUCAGAUCUUAGAAAGCCGAGAUCCCACAUACUAUACAUAAAUUCCUUCUGUAUUCACCCAGAUUUGCUCAAAGUGUUCAGCAAAAAGAAUGCCACAAAACUUCCUCCUCACCGUCCAUGUAACUGUUCUAUAGAUAUCUUAGACGGUUCUGCUGUUCCUAAAUCUUGUGUCUAUCCCUUGACACAGACAGAGGAGAGAGCCUUGGGGGAAUACGUUGACAAGACACUGUCUCGAGGUUUUAUUCGCCCCUCAACGUCCCCGACCCCAUCUGGAUUUUUCUUUGUGAAAAAGAGGGAUGGCAGUCUUAGGCCUUUCAUUGAUUACAGAGCCCUCAAUAUUAUCACAAAAAAUUGCUUACCCACUGCCUUUUAUCCCAAUUGCUUUAGAACAACUUUGUGGCGCAAAGUUUUUGACUAAGUUAGAUCUCCGCAGUGUCUGCAACUUAGUCUGUAUCAAGGAGGGAGAUAAGUUGAAAACAGCUUUCAUCAUCAUUAGAGGGCACUAUGAGUACUUAGGAAUGCCAUUCGGUCUGUCUAAUGCUCCAUCCAUUUUCCAGUUCUUCAUAAACUAUGUCCUCUGAGGCAUGACUGGGCAAUUCAUGAUUACGUACACAGAUGACAUUUUGAUUUACUCCCCUGAUUUUGACACUGUGCCAGCAGGUCUACAAUGUCCAUUAGAGAAUGAAUUGUAUGUGAAAGGAGAGAAGUGUGAAUUUGAUUUGCAGAAAGUAUUAUUUUCGGGAUACUCAAUAAGUGGCCAGGGCAACGUUAUGGAUGACCGAAAGGUAGACGGCAUACUUAACUGUCCCACUCAACGUCCAUCAAAGUUUUGCAAGUUCCUGGGUUUCGCCAACUUCUACCAUCGUUCAUUCGAAAUUUUAGUACUCUAGCUGCUCCCCUCACUGCUCUACUUAAGGGAACAUCCAAAAAGUUACAGUGGAGUUCAGCAGCUGAGAAUGCUUUUAGUAAAAUAAAGGAGGCAUUCACCUUUGCUCCCAUUCUUCAGCACCCUCAUCCUAACUUGCUCUUUGUAGCAGAGGUUGAUGCUUUAGAGACUAGAGCAGGUGCUGUCUUGUCACAGCAUAGUGGAAAAUUUGUAAAACUUUAACCAGGAGCUUUUUACUUACACAAACUCACUCUCACUGAAAGGAAUUAUGGCAUUGGAGAUCAUGAAUUACUAGCAGUUAAGCUAGCGUUAGAGGAAUAGAGACAUUGCUUGGAGGGAGAAGCUCACCCAUUUCUCAUAUUAACUAAUCAUAAGAAUACCUCCAUUCCGCUAAACACUUCCUCGACAAGCUCGCUGGUCCCUUUUCUUUUCUCAGUUCCAAUUCAGUAUCUCUUAUCGUACCAGUUCAUGUAAUUACAAAGCUGAUGCCUUGUCAAGAAUUCACCAGUGUGAGCCCAUUCUUCCUCCCUCUGUUCACAUAGCAUCCCUCCGAUGGGAGACUGAUGAAGGGAUCACCGAAGUCCUUAGAAAAUUGCAACAUCCCUGAUAGCUGUCCACAAAAAACGAUUCAUGUGCCAGUUCAAUUUUAACUCCUUAAAACUCCUUAGUUUGUUUGUCCACUCAAAUGACACUGUUUCAGUGUAUCUUCAGGGUAUCAACCCCCACUCGCACCAUGGACUGCUUCUCCAUCUGUUAUCCUAGCUGUCCAUGAUUGGAUGCAAUGCAGCAAGGAGGUCUGGGAACAAUAUCACUGUAGCAUCAAGGUAGCCCUCCAAUGUGCCAAGGAGCAGGCAGACCAACAGCAUGGGGAGACCCAAUCCUUUAGCCAGGAGACCGGGUUGGGUUGUCCACCUGGGAUCUCAGGUUUGGGGAGGGCAGUCUUAAGUUACAACCUAAGUAUGUCGGUCCAUUCCAAAUUGCUGUGACAAAUAAUGUCACAAACAGACUUAAUUUACCUGUUCAGUUCUGUAUCUCACCCUCUUUUCAUGUGUCCCCCCUUAAGCCUGUGGUCCCCAGACCACUGGACAAGGUAUCGCAUAACGAGGCACUGCCAGCUGGAGGUGGAUGGUGCCCUGGUCUACGCUGUCUGUCAGGUGCUGGACUCUCAGCAGUGUGAGGAGAUCCUCCAGUAUCUGAUAGACUGGAAGGAAUACGGACCAGAGGAGAGAUGCUGGGUGCCAGCAAAGGAUGUUCUGGACCCUGGGUUAGUGGCGGAUUUCCAUGCCAGGCAUGGGUUCGAACUCACUCACAGCCGGUGCCAAGUCAACGCACUCAAUCAGCCAAAAAAGACUGACUGAUGAAGACUGACUGGAGUCAAUGGUGCCAUACACACUAUUCUGACUAAGUGAAACAGAAAGCUGCCAAUGCUUACCAGCGGCCUGGCAGCGUCCAACGGGUUGAUAUUCGUCUUGGUGUUUCCUGGACCUAUUAUUCAAAUUUCUUUUAAUGAAUGCUUUCCAAAAUCACAAAUUCUUGAUGGAUGACAUUGUUUUUUUAUGUACCCACAACAUCAUCUGGCAUACCACAAGUACCAUAGUUUGGGAACCACUGAUGUAGAUCUUUUUCUUUUGCCAUUUUGACCCAAAAGUUCAAAAAGGUCAAUUGGGCCUGCAUAGCCACAGAGCAUCUGCACUGGUUAUGUUUCUCUACUCAUUUAUCCAGGUUUUAAUUUAAUUUGUCACCCAUCUAUAUGUUAUAUAACUUGUCAUUGUCAUCACCAUCAUCAUCAUCUUUAUCAUUGUCAGUUUAAUAAGUUUGAGGCCCCUUCACAAAAACAUACAUAGUAUUAUGGCCUUUAUAAGAUCUUACAUUUGUUCAUUAUAACAUUAGUCAUGUAACUACAAGUACUAACAAUGACUCAUGCCAUUCACUAAAAGGCAAGGGUGUCAAGUCUUAUCCACAAAGGGAUGGUGUGGCAGUAGCUUUUCAUUCCAAACCAGCUGGAGCACACCUGAAUAUGUCAAAUCACUUGGGCUCAGUCUUUGAACAGUUGAUCUCAUGUGUUUUGAGAAGGGUCUGGCUGCAGACAUGCACUUUCAGCCUACAUGCGCCACCAGCCUAUUGAUGACGUCAGUGCACGCUCUGUAACGACAGUUUUUUUGUCGGUUUUAUGAGGGAAAACAGCGAACUACGUACUGUUUCUGCUAUUGUGGCUGAGAGUGCAUCUGGCUGAAAGUGCAUGUCUGCAGCCAUGUCUGCAACCAUGUCUAUUGUGUGUUCCUGCUUGUUCAGAAUGAAACAUGCAGCCACACCAGACCUUUGUUGAUAAGAUUGGACACCCCUUAUGUAAAGUGUAGUGUUUGUAUGCUUGAGUGUAACGUCUUCACACCACACUAAUAAAUAAAGGACUCUUUA